UACGUAGGGGGCUAGCGUUGUCCGGAAUCAUUGGGCGUAAAGAGCGUGUAGGCGGUCCGGUAAGUCCGCUGUGAAAGUCGGGGGCUCAACCCUCGAAUGCCGGUGGAUACUGUCGGGCUAGAGUGCGGAAGAGGCGAGUGGAAUUCCCGGUGUAGCGGUGAAAUGCGCAGAUAUCGGGAGGAACACCAGUAGCGAAGGCGGCUCGCUGGGCCAUUCCUGACGCUGAGACGCGAAAGCUAGGGGAGCGAACAGG
rnacentral:rRNA from 1 species